rnacentral:rRNA from 1 species
UACGUAGGGUGCAAGCGUUGUCCGGAAUUAUUGGGCGUAAAGAGCUCGUAGGCGGUUCGUCACGUCGGCUGUGAAAUCCCGAGGCUCAACCUCGGGUCUGCAGUCGAUACGGGCAGGCUGGAGUUCGGUAGGGGAGACUGGAAUUCCCGGUGUAGCGGUGAAAUGCGCAGAUAUCGGGAGGAACACCAGUGGCGAAGGCGGCGCUCUGGGCCGGAACUGACGCUGAGGAGCGAAAGCGUGGGUAGCAAACAGG